rnacentral:rRNA from 1 species
CCUACGGGUGGCAGCAGUGGGGGAUAUUGCACAAUGGGGGGAACCCUGAUGCAGCGACGCCGCGUGGGUGAAGAAGCGCCUCGGCGCGUAAAGCCCUGUCAGCAGGGAAGAAAAUGACGGUACCUGAAGAAGAAGCCCCGGCGAACUACGGGCCAGCAGCCGCGGUAAUACGUAGGGGGCAAGCGUGAUCCGGAUUUACUGGGUGUUAAGGGGGCGCAGACGGCGAUGCAAGCCAGGAGUGAAAGCCCGGGGGCCAACCCCGGGACUGCUCUUGGAACUGGGUGACUGGAGUGCAGGAGGGGCAGGCGGAAGUCGUGGUGUAGCGGUGAAAUGCGUAGAUAUCAGGAGGAACACCGGUGGCGAAGGCGGCCUGCUGGACUGCAACUGACGUUGAGGCCCGAAAGCGUGGGGAGCAAACAGGAUUAGAUACCCCUGUAGUC